AUUGAACGCUGGCGGCAGGCCUAACACAUGCAAGUCGAACGAGUGGAAGACGGGUGAGUUAUGUCUGUGACACUGCCUGAUGGAGGGGGAUAACUUCUGAAAACGGUACAUAAUACCGCAAAUCAUGAGAUGUGCCCAUAUGGGAUUAGCUAGUUGGUGGGGUAACGGCUCACCCAGGCGACGAUCCCUAGAUGGUCUGAGAGGAUGACCAGCCAAACUGGAACAGAGACACGGGCCAGACUCCUACGGGAGGCAGCAGUGGGGAAGAUUGCAAAAUGGGCGCAAGCCUGAUGCAGCCAUGCAGCGUGUCUGAAGAAGGCCUUCGGGUUGUAAAGUACUGUCAGCGGGGAGGCGUUACCCGCAGAAGAAGCACCGGCUAACUCCGUGCCAGCAGCCGCGGUAAUAC
rnacentral:rRNA from 1 species